GCCCAGGUGGCGGAAUUGGUGACGCACUAGUUUCAGGUACUAGCGCCGCGAGGUGUGCCGGUUCGAGUCCGGCCUUGGGCACCA
rnacentral:tRNA from 1 species